rnacentral:lncRNA from 1 species
UCACUGUGAGCUUUGGAAUCUACUUUACAGAUUAUUACAGUUUACAAAACUAAUAUUAGCUUUAUUUAUAGAUUUACUCAUAUAAAUACAUGAUUGAUUUUCCAUAUAAACCCUUAUGUUAGUUUUAAAAAGUGGAUUUCCAAUGGUUUGAGAAUACAGAUUUAAAAAGGGAGUAGUAUUUAGCACCGAGUGAGAAGUAUGUGAUUAGAGGGCCCUAUCUUCCACAGAACUAUGUAGUCAAUGUAGGUACAGAUUAUCAGAUUUUUCCAUUUCUAUAUGGAUGAUAGUUUUAGCUUGUGAUCAAUCACAUGGAUUAGGUUAUACUCCUAGGUAAGAGUAUGACACCUCUCCCCAACAUGAGGUUUUUUUCUUAGGAGGAUAAGAAGUUGGACUCAAUGUAGCUCGAAUGGUUUAUGUCGGUUAAGAGAACCUCCCUAGUAGUAAAUACUUUCAGAAUAGUUUUUAAAGUAUUUUCCCUAAGAUAAAGUAUUUUUCAGAUUUUAAAAACUAAGUGUAAAGGCUCACAAACUUACUCAGAUAUUAUUUUACUUAAGAUUUUAGUUACAGAAUUAAAGCUUUUAGUUUUCAGACAUAAAAAGGUGAGCUCUUUUUCACUUAGCCUAUAUGAUUUAAUAAUAAGCACAGAAUACAGAUUUUAGAACUAAGUGUUGUGACUCACAAGAUUUACAUCAUAUGCUUUACUAUUCAUGACAUGAUUUUUAAAUUUUAUAUUACUAAAGCCUAUGUGAGUCAUUACACUUAACAUGCAUUAUUUGAAAAUCUAUGAAUAUAUAUACAGUUAUUAUUUUACUUAUGCAUUCACCCCCAUAUACUCAGUAUAUACUCAAAGUACUAAUCCACAUAUACGUCUAUGUGCUACAUUAUGUCAUAAUGUAGGUAUGAGUUACAGCAUGCAUACCAUAUUCAGCCAGUAGCAGAUUCCAUCCAGCAGAUGAUGAGUCCUUCUACUUCAGGGACUUAAGUUAGAUAUUAUUCAUGUUCUUUACUUUCUUACUCCUAUGUAUUGAUUAGUGGUAGUUGGGGUCACAUCCUAGCUAUCUAUAGUCAGUAUAGUAGAGGCUUCACAGAUGUUAGUCAGACUCAGUUAUGUAAUCUUUAAUUUUGUUCUUCAGUUUUAUCAGAAUGUAAAAUUGUAUUAGAAUUAUAUUUUUAUAGAUUUCAUCAUCAUUAUGUUUCUGCACAGUAAACUCAGUCAUUUUAUACAUAUUUUAUUAGUUGCUUAACAGUAUGUCAGUUCAUGGGUUAGUUUGGGAUCACUUGUGGUCCUAAGCAUUAUGUGACAUCUUAGGAUAGAUUUUUGAGGCGUUAAAAACUUGGUAUCAGAGCACAAGGCUCAAAUGUCCUAGGGUGUCUAUGAAGCCCUGUUUAGUAGAGUCUUGCAGAACAGUAUGGAGACGUCUGUACUUUUGUUCGAGAGGCUAUGAGGUAUUUAGAAAAAGUUUUCUUUCUAUCAUACUCUAUAUCGUGCUGAAAAGUUGUUUCUUCAGAAAAUUCUAUCGAUUCAUGUGUUAAUCCAUACUUAUUUAUCUAUGUUAUAUUCUUAAGAUAUCAUGAUUAGUAAUUUGAAGUUCCUCCCCAGAUAAUGCUCUCAAUUUUCUAGCAGAAACUUCAAAAGUCACAUAAGGGGCUUGAGAGAAGCUCCCUAGUGUGUUAAGUUCCUUGAGUUGAAAGUUUAUGUUCUCAUUCUUAUGAGUUGUUCAGUUGAGACUGAAUUAGAUUUGUAUUCAGAUUGCCUAUUGACCCUUUUAAUACAAAUAGUUCUCAUGAGAGGAGAUAGUAUGAACCUAGAUGGUUAAAUAUAGUGUGUAUUUGAGGGAUAUUAUGAACUUCAGUGUUAUGAUUUAGGAAUAGUUGAGCCUUAUUAUAGUUGGAAGUAUGGGUAUAAAAGAGCAGUGAUAAGAAAAGUGGGAAUGGUGAUUGAUAGAAAGUAUAGAGAUAAACUUAUGCAUGCUAUAGAUUUUAUGUUAAGGUAAUAUGUUCUUGUGUGUUAGUUUGGUGGAGGAUAGAGAGGGAGUUAUUAGUUAAGGUGAAUUAUUGUUUGCUUGAAGUACGGAAGGAGUUAUUGAUGGUAUUGUGAUUGAAAAGUAUAGGAUAUUAAUGAAGUGUUUGGUGGUUUAAUAUCAUUAAUUUAGGCUUCCCUUGAGGUUUCAACAAGGAGCUUAGAUGAAACUUAUAGAGCUAUGAUAGUAAUUUAGAUGUAUAGAAGGGUAAAUAGUAAUGAUGUGUAGAAGAAAGAUGUGUUAAUGGAUUAUGAUAAGAUAGGUCAUAUGAUUAUGAUCGAUUAUUGUUAUUAUAAAGUUCUAGCGGACUAGUGUUUCUUGAUGUUCAUUUUUAUAGCUUUCAAGUGAGAAUUGUUUGUAAGAUGGGUUGUCAAAUCAUGUCUAGCACUAGACAUUUAGUUUGAACAGUUAAAGGUCAUCAAGGUGGAUGUAAUGAUUUCUUGGUUAGUUAUGCUAGUUAUAUGGAAGUGAUCUAGUAGGCUUGAACAGUGUAUGCAAGAGCUUAAGUUUAUUUAUUCGUAAUUUAGUAUAAUAUUAUAGGUAUGAUAUAGAGGUGUGCCCAAGGUGAUAUGGGGCUUCAUUAUUUUUGAAAUUUAUUAAGUGAUGUGUGGUUAGUAGUACCCUUGAAUUGAUAAUUAUGAAUGAGUCUAUGAGGUAUAUGAUGUUCUUGUUAGUUAACUUAUGAGUUAUAGGUUGAUGAUGUUGGUGUGAUAUUAGUAGAGUAUGAAGAAAGUUAAUAUGGUUUAGCAAGGGUUUGGAGAUAUCUACGCUAAGUGUUAGAAUCUAAGUAGGUGAGUGUUUAAGUUGUUAGAUGAUGACUUUUGGGGCUAUAGAAAUCUAAGAAUUGAAUCUUAGAAGAAGGCAUCAGCAUUGGGAGUUACACGUUAAGAUACAGUCCUUUAGGGUAAGUUUAGUUUUAUGUGUAUUGAUUUUAUGCUAGACUCUAGAGUAAAGUGAUUUCAGUUUAGAUUAGAGUUUAUUCAGUGAUCCAUAGACUUAGAAUGAUGGCUUAAAGCUUAGGGGGAGAUGAUAGGAUAAGUAACUAAGUCAAACUUUUGGAUUCUAGUAGUGAUGAUGAAUACUUGUGUAGAUGGGAGGAAGUAAAAGUGUUAUGUUUAGGAAGAUUGUUGUAUGCUUGUUUUAUGUAGGUCUAUAAAUGAAAGAAUAUUGAGGUGAAGCUUUUUCUGUAUGACUUGGUUAGUUGGGGAAUAUUUUAUGUGUGUCUUCCUAAGAAUAGAAUAGUGCAUAGAAGUUGUUAUUGAUAGAGGUAUUGGAGAAUAUGAGAAAGAUGCUCUUAUGGGUAUUUGUUUAGAAGCGCAUAUGUGGUUAUAAAGAUAGGAUUGAACUUCACGUUGGUAUAUAAGGGGAAAUUAUAGUUAAGUGAGUCUUUGAGAAAGUGUUGCUAAUCUUUGAAGUGAGAAGUUGCAUUGCUUAAGGCCUAGUAAUUCUAUCCUAACUUAAGAUUUAUAGGUCUAUGUUCCAUGCUAUAUAUUUGGGGCUAUGUUGUAAUUUCUUAUUCUGAGGUCUUGUUCAGAUCAUGCCCGGAGUCCCUUACUUCCUAAUAUAGUUAGAACUUCCUGAAAAGAGUGUUGAAGAAAUACCCUAUUUGGGUAAGAGCAUUCAGUAUGAUUUAGUUCGUAAGUAUCUUGUGUAUCAUCUCAGUCUUUUCCUAGUAUUUCAACUAAAUCAGUAUCAUUCGGUGAUGAACAAUCCCAAGGGGGAGAUGUUGUAAUACCCCAAAUUUUCAAUCAUAAACCUCUCAUUCUUUUUCUUACAAAAUUAGGUCCAUCCUAAAGUAAUGGUUACUCAUAAGUUGACGCUCUCGUUUCUAUCCCAGUCAUAUAGCUAUUUUCAUGAGAAUUCAUGCACUUGCAACUCAGUUCAGUAGCUCAUGAUGUUUAAGAUUCAGUUAUUCAGUUUAUUUUAGUUGUGCAUGAUAGAUUAUAACAUCAGAUUCCUCAGUAUUUUCAGCUUAAUUAUCCACAUUCGAGGACAAAUGUUCCCAAGGGGGAGAUAUUAUAACAACCCAUGUUUUUCCUAGCUUAAAAUUCACUUAGAAUGUUAAGAGUGGGCUUAAAAAAUGAAUGAGAUUUAUUUCAUGUGGAAUUUCAAGAUUUAGACCUUCCAUUGUGUGGAAAAUUGAAUAAGCUUUCCAUCAAUACCAAAUUCCCCUAAAUCCGACACUCGGUGAAGAAGUAAGAGCAUUUUUAGUAAUGCAGUAUCCCACCUGGGCACUCACCGCGUCGCGGUGGAUGCCAAAACAGGAAUCGUCAUAUUUCAAUGGACCUCCAUGAUAUUGGCACAUCGCAGAGAGUUCCAAAUUCCUAAUUGUCAAUUUCUAGUUGCGUAUCGCAAUAGCACCACGUCGCGCCAGAGUGCAAGUUCGCACUCGUCCUUUUUCAGUAGCUUAACGCGAUUUCACCGCGUUGCGGUAUAGGUGUAAUUGCCAUGGUCUUGAUCCAUAAUUUGAAUACUUGUUUCAUGACUCUUAUACUAAGUAUGUGAAGUUAUUAUUUGGUGAAUAAUAUUCAUAGAAGUCACUUAGAGCCAAGUGGAGCUAAGAACAUUAGAUUUAUUCAAAGUUUGGUGUUCAAUUCUACAAGGAUCAACUUUGAAAGUGUAUAAUUUUUGAUGUAUUUAGAAUUUUCCAUCUCAAUACCCACCAAAUUGUAGAUAAUUGAAUUAUCUUUCCAACGAUACCAAUUUUGCCUAAAACCAAAAUCCGAGAGAAAAGUUAUAGCCAUUUUCGUGUGAGACAGUAUGCUGCCGUGAUGGUACCACGUCGUGGCAAGGAACAAAAUCGGGAUGGGGAUUAUGAAUUUUUGCUUUAAAUUAAUAAGGGGCAAUGGGGUCUUUUACCCCCUCAACCCAGGUCAUAAUAUCAUGAUAUAUAGCCGCCAUCGAGGCAUUAUUUUCUCCCUAUUAUCCUACUUUACUCCCAAGAAUAAACCCUAAUCAAUUAUCUUCAAGAAAACCAUCAAGAAUUAAGCUUUCUAUUCCAAGAAUUUCAAGAAAAUCAUUCAAGAACAUUCCUAAGAACGUCAAUUUGAUUCAUCUUCUUCAAGAAACAACCUUCAAGAACACAAAUAGGAAUUCAAGUCAAACUUAUUCAUCAAUUCUCUUUCAAAAGAAAACCCUAAAGCUCAAACUUACUCUUCAGGAAAUCAAUUUUUCCUCAUCAAUUCUCCAAGAUAGUUCAAGAUUAAGAGUUCCCAAUUCAAGAACUCCAAGAACUCAUCUUCAAAAGCAUCAUAGGAAUCCAAGAUUCAAGCUUUUCAUCUAAGAUCAUCGAUUAAGGUAUGUGGGGUUAUGAACAAGGAUACUCCUUUCAUCCUUGUGCCCAAGAAAAAUAUUAUUUUAAUUACAAAUUUAUUGGAUUUUAUAUGUGUUUUCAUGAAAUUAAAGUUAGGGUUUAUACCCAUUAUUAUUGUUUACAAACUUAUGAGAUUUUCAAUGAUUUAGAAGUUGAAUUACAUGAUUAUGUUCAUAUUUUCAUGCAUAUUGUUGAAAUUUCCAGAUUUUAAGUUGAGUUAUGAAUAUUUACAUUACCAAGCAUGAAUAUUAUGAUGUCUUAACAUGAGAUUGAAGCAUGAAUUAUUUUCCAAAGAUUGAUGCUUUAAGCAUCUUAUGAGUAGGUUAUUUAUAGUUUUUCAGAAAAACUUUGAUCUUUCGAUCACUGGUUGAGCUAUGGAAUCCACUUUACAGAUUAUUACAGUUUAUAGAACUCAUAUUAGCUUUAUUUACAAUUUACUCAUAUAAAUACAUGAUUGGUUUUUCAUUUAUAUUGGUUUUAAAAAGUGGAUUUUCAAUGGUGUGAACAUACAGAUUUAAAAAGGGAGUAGUAUUUAGCACCGAGCGAGAAGUGUGGGAUUAGCGGGCCCUAUCUUCCACAUGACUACCUAGCCAACGUAGGUACAGAUUAUCAGAUUUUUCCAUUUCUAUAUGGAUGGUAGGUUUAGCUUGUGAUCGAUCACAUGGAUUAGGUUAUACUCCCUGGCAAGAGUAUGACACUCUCCCCAACGUAAGGUUUCUUCCUUAGGAGGACAUGGUUUAUGUCGGUUAAGAGAACCUCCUUAGUAAUAAAUACUUUCAGAAUAGUUUUUAAAGUAUUUUUCCUAAGAUAAAGUAUUUUCCAGAUUUUAGAAACUAAGUGUAAAGGCUCACACACUUACUCAGAUAUUAUUUUACUUAAGAUUUCAGUUAAAGAAUUACAGCUUUUAGUUUUCAGAAAUAAAAAAGUGAGCCCUUUUUCACUUAUCCUAUAUGAUUUGAGAAUAAGAACAGAAUACAGAUUUUAGAACUAAGUGUUGUGACUCAUAAGAUUUACAUUAUAUGCUUUACUAUUCAUGACUUAUGAUUUUUAGAUUUUAGAUUACUCAAGCCUCUGUGAGUCUUUUUAUGGCAGACAUUGUUGCUCUCUAGUUGGUUCGAUGUUUCUAAGAUCAGACCUUGAGGUACAAACUUAAUUUAUGAGACUUUGGAUAGAGUUCGGGUCAUUCAGGAUAGACUUCGAGCUACUCAGAGUAGGUAGAAUGUUAUGUGAAUCAUAGGUUUCGUGCCUUGAAGUUUAAUGUUGGUGAUCAUAUCUUUCUUCAUGUGUCAUCCAUGAAAGGCGUGUUUAGGUUUAGGAAGAGGGUCAAGAUUAGCCCCAGGUAUUUGGACCUUUUGAGAUCCUUUGGUCUCUUGGUGAUAUGGUUUAUGAGUUGGCUUUGUCCUAAGAUUUAUCAGUUGUUCAUCUAGUUUUUUAUGUUUUCACGCUUCGGCAUUACAUUUCAGAUGAGUUCCAUGUCAUUCGUUAGGAUUUAAUUCAUCUUGAUGAGCGGUUUUCUAUUAUUGAGGAGCUCAUCUCCAUUUUAGCUAGAGAUGUGAGACGAUUGCUUUCUAGAGAUAUUCCAGUAGUUAAGGUCCAGUGGAGGCAUCGACCUAUAGAUGAGUCUACUUGGGAGGUCGAGUCUGAUAUACAUAGUAGUUAUCCCCGAUUUUUCUAUGGUUCAGGUAUUUUCUUACCUUUAGUUUGAGGACAAACUAGAUUUUUGGUGGUGGAUAAUGUAACAACUUGAUUUUGGUAAUUUUUGUGAAAUACUUAAAUUUGUGUGAUUUGACCAUUUUACCCCUCUCCGUGGUUGUAUUUUGGUACUUUUGGGGUGUGAGGAUGUUUGGCACGAUGUAUUUUAGUGUGAAAUAUGUGGGAUUGUGGUUUUUGGUGGCUUGAAAAGCCUUAGAGUUGACUUCGAUCAACAUUUAUUAAUCUUUGUAUUGGAUGGUAAAAUGUGCUACGCCAACAGGUCCGAAACAUCGAGUUUAGGUUGGUAACAAAGUCGUUUUGGUUUUAUGGCUUUUAUAUCUCAUUUCGACUCUUGUCUUGGAAAUAUGUAAAAUUAGGUUUCGGGGGUCAACUCUGUGAAAAUGAUAUCUUUUCAAAAAUUUGAUAUCAGCAUUGAGUCUGGAGCAUUGAUUUUGAUAGGGUAGUAUAGUCCGUUUGCGUUCUCGACAUUCCAAAUAAAUUCUAAGGGGGUCGUGGAGACUCAAAAUUCUCUAAGUCUCCAGCUGGUGCUCAGCUACUGGUGUGCUGGAAUUCUCCAAGUCACCGAUUACCUUUUAGCGCUAAAGCGGCCCUAGCCGCCUAACAGUUACCACUAAAGCGGUAACUUGUGUGCUUUAGCUCAUUGCUAAAGCAGCCCAGGGUUCGUUUUCGUGGACUACACCUUGGCGUGGGUACCGUUUUAGUGGCACCUGGGCGCUUUAGCACCAACCGCUAAAGUGGCCCGUGGUCCGCUUUAGUGGCACUUGGUAUAUUUAAAUACCUCAUUUUUUGUCUUUUUCAAUAUUUUUGAGACUUGGAGCUUGGGGUUUCGAUAUUUUGAACAAUUUCUUCCAUUUCUAAGUUUGGGUAAGCUCUAAAACACCUAUUUCAACUAUUUUUCUUUAACUUUUAUUUGAACUUGGAUUUGAAGGUGAAAUUUGGGGAUUUUGGCCGGAAGUCCUAAGAAAUUAUAUUUCUUUGAUUUAAUCCCCAAUUUCAACCUAUUUUCACCUGGGUUAUCUUCUAUGAGUUUCUUUAAUUGUGAAAAAUAUAUUUUUGAACAAAAAUUUUGGUUUUACCCAUCCUUUUCAAAAACUUAUUUCGAGGGUCCGUUUUGACCCCAAUUUGAAAGUGGUCAAUGGGUAUCAAUGGCUUUCUAUUGGCGCAUAGAUUUUAUAUCUGUAUAUUUAGUUGAUUCCAGGUUUAUACAUGAAGUGAAAGAUCAGCGAAAAAGGCUUAUCAUUUCGGUUUUGGCAUUCAAGGUUGGUUAUGACUUAACUUUCUUCACAUUGGGUUGGGUAGUUAAUAAUAAUGUAAAAUCAUGAUAUGGGUAUGGGUUCGUAUCAUGAAAAAUGUGUUUAGAUAAUUUAUGUGCCCGUGUGGGUGCCUAUGUGGAUAAUAUUCAGUGAUUUUGAAACAUUAGUUACUAUGUGUGACCGUGUGGGGUCUUAUACGAUAUUAUUCGCUUGGUAAAGAUAUAGUAUGUUUGGUUACACUCUUUUUGGUUGGAAAAUACCUAAGUUUUGGGAAUUAUGUGGUAUUAAUGAUAUUUUCUUGCAUGUUUCACUAGGUGGGGUUUCUGUAUUAUUUGGAUCAUGGAUGGUUGGUGGAUUUGAGUGAAGUUUGGCUCACUUGGUUGGUAUAUUUGUUUGAUAUAGGAUAUUCUCAUUUUGGUUGGUUGUGAGAAUUAUGUCCUCGUAUCAUAUUCAUUCAUGAAAUAUUAGUACCACCGUAGACAUACUGAAAAUACUGAAAACACUGGCUUUUCUAACAGAAAAUGUGACAUCCUUAAAAACCCUCUACUGAUGUAUAUAUUGGAGAGGAGUUAUGGAUAUUGAUAUUGGAUAUUGGCUGUAUACGGAUUGACGAACCCCCCUAUGGUUCCUACAUCGGAAAGCUUUAUCACCGUAGGAGUAUAUGAGGUUGUGCAAAAACCUCAUGCAUCACAUCAUCAUCAUCUUUAUUGCACUUAUAUAUUAUGUCUAUGUCGUUAUUGUAUUUCUAUAUUCGACAUGAUAUUUAUCCAUCUAUUUAUCUUCCUAUACCUGAAUUUGAUGUAUGUGUAUAUUUGUUUUUCUUUCCUCUACAUGUACUUGUCAUAUAUGUAUAUAUUAGAUCUGUUAGUAGAGACGGUGUGGGCUACUAUUUGGGACAUUUUUUGAUUGCACGUGAUGUGUCCAUAGUUUGUGUUUAUAUGCUUUAUUUUCUACUUUACUCAGUCGUACUAUGAUAUAUACUAAGUACAAGUAGACCGUACUCAUCCCUACUGUGCCCUUUUGGUGCUAAUCCAGGUAUGAGUGCAUCGCUCGGAUAUUUGAUUCAGGCGAUUUUGGAGCCCGUUCGAGGUAGCAGUUGAUCUAUAUAUCUGGAGUUGACUUCUACCUUUUUUUAUUAGACUAUGACUUACUUGUAUUUGUAGAUAGAGUUUUACUUCUGUUGGAUAUCUUAUACAUUUUUUACCUCGAGUUGUACUAGUUAGUUCUUACACUGUGACACCAGGUUUUGGAAUUCGGUUGGUAUCUUGAUUUUAUUUUUGCUUUUACUAUAUGUGUGUGUGUGUGUGUGGUUAGACUCCGUUCUAGGGAUCUUGCCUUGGUUUUGUAUUAUUUUCUCACUUUAUAUUAGUUUGAGUGAUAGGCUUACUUGUCAAGGCUUGUCUUAACAAGUGUCAUCAUGACCCCUGAAUUUUGGGUCGUGACAAAUGGCAUCCUAGGUCGUUUACCUGAGGUGUUGAAUGAAACCUAUUUUUUAACUGUAGAAACUCCUAAGCAUAAAAAUGACUCUAAAACCAAACAAACUGCCUGGUAGCUGAAAUGUCAAUCCCAAUAAGUCAUAAAUGACCUGGGGAAACUAUAGGAAAGUUCUAAAUAUAAAAAAAUGCAUGAAAAUGAAGGAAAUGACCUGGAGGGUCAUUAUAGAUACACAUGAAGUUUGAUGUUGAAUCCUUUUAGGAAUAAAAUAUUUUGACUGUGUUAUGCCACUUCCUAACUCAAGAGCAAUUUUAGAUCUUACUAUUUUUACCUUGGUUUGAAAUUUUCUUUCGACCAUAAUUAAGGAAGCUUUGAGGAUUGUGAAAGCAGUUGAUUUAUUGCUUAACAAGAAAGUCCAUGUUCCCCUACUAAAAUCAUCCAUAAUGAUAAGAAAAAAUUUAUAUCCAUCAUGUGUUGGCUCUUUAUAUUAUGCCCAGUAUAAAUGUGUAUUAAUUCAAAAAAACCUCUUGUUGAGAUUUUAUUUAUAUAAAAAGGUAGCUUGACUUGUGUUGCAAUAGGACAAAUUACACAAGGAGUAUCAAAAUUCUGACAAGAAAAGAUGGAAUGAAAAGGAACAUUUUUCACAUUACUCAAAGGCAUAUGCUCCAAUCUAUGAUGUCACCGUUCUCCUUUAUUUUGGAAUCAAACAAAGAAAAACAUGAACGAAAAGUUGAAUUAAAAUUGAAAAUCCUAUUACUAGAAACUGAAUUGAAACCUAAACUAGGACUCAAGAUUUUCUUGACUGGAACAUUUGGAAGAAGAUCUGAUUGUCCUGAUUUAAGUAUGUAGAGCCUUCCUUUCCUCAAUAAAUUUCUAGUAGGCUCCUCAGAUAAGCUCCAUAAAACAUGGACAAGAUGUAGGAGUAAAUAACACAUAAUUAUUGAGUUGUUUACAUAAUUUCUAUAUAGACAGGUGAUUGAACUUGAAAGAGGGUAUAUAUAAUACAUUAUGCAACACAAGAUUUGGUAAUGUACACACUGUUCCUGGAUGGGUUACCCUAACUUUGUAUAAAUUAGGAAGACCCACCAUUUGAGCUUUAAGUAAAGAUUUAAUUUUUGACAAAAUUGAUUUAUUGUGAGUCAUAUGAUAAGUAGUUCCACUAUCUAAUAUCCAAAAAUUAUUGUCAAUGUUAACUCUCUAUGCAUAAGAAUUUAAAAACUUAGUCUUACCUACUAAACUCAUGAUAACAAAAACUUCAGGAGUAUUUCCAUCCUUUUUUACAGCUUGAGAUACUGAAGAAGCUCCAACAGUUAUUCCAUACUUUUCUGCAUCAAAGACCUGAUGUGUGGACCAUUACUGCCUACCUAUUCCUCAGCAGUAUCAAAACUGUUGUUGAGUUGAGCAGUUUCUUAAAAUUUUCUCUACUUUGUGAACUUAAAAUCAGUAGGAAACCUAUGAAUUCUGUAGUAUUUGUUCACUGUAUUACCCAUUUUCUUAUAGUAACUACAAUUUAGAUUAUUUUUCUUACAAUUAAAACUAGAUUUCCGUGCCUUAUAAUCAUUAAAUUUUCUUCCUCCAGGUUGAUUGGAGGGAAGAAACGAUGAUGAAUCACCAGGAUAGACUGUUGGAACAUGAUUUUUUAUUUUAUUUUCAUCCUUAAUUAUGAGUGAAUAAGCAUGGGCAAAAGAAGGCAAAGGAGAAAAUAACAUUAUAUUGCUUCUCACACAUAUGAAAGCAUCAUUCAAUCCCAUCAAGAACUGGGAAAAUCUUUCAUCUUGAUGUGCCUUUCAACCCCUUUCCUUUGCACCACACUCAUAGAACAAGGGCAAAUAGAAAAUGUAUUAAACACAUCUAAUUCACCCCAUACACUUUUGAGUAUAGUGAAAUAAGUUGAAAUACUUGUGUUUACUUAAGUCGUUUCACUUAACUAUGUUAGAAGUUGAAAUAACUUUCCUUCAUUUGUCUGAUCAAAUCUUUUUUCAAGGUUUUUUCACAGAUCCCUUGCACUACUAGAAUAUAGCAUGAUUUCUAUAAUUUCAUUUGAGAGGGAUUUUAGCAGCCAUGACAGAACCAUGUCAUUACACCUGUUCCAAGAACUGUACAUAUUGGAAUCUAGAGAAGGAGAAACCAACUAUCCAUUAACGAAUUUUAAUUUAUUUUUGACUGAAAGACCUAUUAUUAUUGACCUCCUCCAAUCUCCAUAGCAUUUUUCAUCAAAAGUAGUUGAAACGAGAUUCAUCUCGGGGUAGUAUGAGGGAUGGAGAUAGUAACAUUGACUUUGACCAACUAUCUUAAUUGUAGAAGAUUUAGUAGUUAGAGCAAAACCAUCGAACAAUGUGGUCUAUGCUGUUUCAUCAAAUAGUUGAGCAAUGUUAGUCAUGAUGAAAAAAUAAAAAUUGGAUACAAGAUGAUUAAAAAUAAGGAACAAUGAUGAAAAUUUGAGACAAGGUGAUUGGAAUCUACCUUGCUCUGAUACCAUGUAAGAAUUGAAAAAAAUUAUGAAAAAGAAAUACAAAAGAAACUUUGGAAAAUUUUCUUCUCCUUUUUCAUGAAUGAGUAAUAACUUGGUACAAUAUCCUAUAGAUACAAAUAAAGGAACCGACCUAAAGACUCCUAAAUAAGGUACAAAAUAACUAUGGGGAUACAUUGUAAAAUAAAGUAGGAAAUACUACUUAAUAAGGAUACUAAAAAAAUUAUCUAGGGUGUACAAAAGGAAUAAAAUAAUAUAUACAAGAGUUUGCUGAAGUUGGGAUGAAAUCAACAUGUUAAGGAAGGACUAAGACAUAUACUCCAUUACCAAAUAAUGUUAAGGUUGGUCCAUGUCAUGUACUAUAGCAGGUAAAUGAUGAAACGGGUGAACCAACCCGAUCCAAUGAAUAAAAUAUAGUAUUAUCUCGAUAAUCAUCCCUCUCCAAUACUUCUUCGGCCUACCUCUACCUCUUCUCGUAUCUACAAUACGCAACCUCUCACAUCUCCUCACUAGGGCAUCUGUACCCUGCCUUUUCACACGUUGAAACCAUCUCAAUCUUGCUUUCUCAUCUUGUCAACCCGGAGCCUAUUUCCAUUUUAUCUCGAAUAACCUCAUUCCUAAUUGUAUCGCAACUAGUAUGCCUAAACAUCCACCUCAACAUCUCCUCAACAUGUAUCUUCUGAACAUUGAAGUUUUUGACUGGCCAACAUUUCAUCCCAUACAACAAUACCUGUCCAACCAUCACUCAAUAAAAUUAUCUUUAAGAUUUGGUGGUAUCUUCUUAUCACACCAAACUUCGAAGGCAAGCCUCCACUUCAUCCAUAUUUCAUUAAUACGAUGUAUAUUAUCGUUGAUGUCUCCACUUUCUUGGAUUAUAGACCAAAAAUACUUGAAACUAUCUCUUUUGAGGAUAGCUAGUGCGUCAAGCCUCACUUUCGCACCAGCCUCUUGCAACCCCUCACUGAAUUUGCACUUCAAAUACUCUAUUUUAGGGCUUCUCAACCUGAACCCUUUAGCUUUCAUAGUUUGUCUCCACUUCCAACAUAACGUUAACUCCGCUACAUUUCUCAAAGAUCAGUACAAUGUUAUUCAUAAAUAAUAUACACCAAGAUAAUUCAUCUUGAAUAUACCACGUCAAUUCAUCCAUAACCAAGGCGUAGAGGAACACACUAAAAUAUGUUCAAAAUCAUAAGAUUUAAAGGAUGUUUUGAUAUGUUAUCAUACUUAACUAAAAAUCACAUAAUUCAAAAAUCUCCCCAACUUCCUUAAGUUUUGAUUCAAUUAAAAAUAAGAUACAUAAAAUAAUGUAAUUAUAUCCCCUAAUACUUAUGUAUUUCAAUGAAGAAGAGAAAAAUUAAAAUGUGACAUUGGUGUUUGUAUGUAAGGUAGUAAGGCCCGUUUGGCCAUAGAAUUUUUUUACUUUUUUUUUAUUUUUAUUUUACUUUUUCCAUUUUUCCGGAAAUGGUGGUGUUUGGCCAUGAAAAUUCAAAAAAUUAUUCCGGAGUUGGAUUCCAAAAAGUGAAAACAACUUUUUGUUGUUUUCACAAUUUUUCACUUCCAUUUUCAACUUUCAUUAUUAUUACAUAUAACCCCAAUCUUUAAAUUUUUACACAAACCCCUCUUAUAACUACAACCAACCACCAAGAAAAAAAUUAUUAUUUACUUUCUAUGGUACAACAUCAUUUUUAAUUGUUACAGAUAUUCUAAUAUCUUUUUCUUCUUUUAACCAAAAUUUACUAAUGUGAAGUAAAAAAUAAUAAAUGUCAAUCUAUGGUGGAAAUAUAUCAAUUUUUGUUUUGAAUGAACUAUAUUAUAGAAAUAUAAGGCCUAAUACAUUAUGUUAUUUAAAAAUGAGAAAUUUAAUAUUUUUUUCUUGCCAUUCUAUUUGUAUAUGUCAUAUAAUGGCUAUGAUGAUUUUAAUAAAAUAUUAAAUAGUGGUCAAUAAAGUUGCAUAUCAAACAUAACGUAACGAUCCAUAUUUAUGAUACAAUAAUAUUCAAGAAAAAUCAAUAUCAUCAAUAAAGAAAAAGUAAAAAAUUAGCACUAAUCUAUUCAGAAAUAAUUCAUCCGUAAUUUUUUUAAAAAAAGAUCAAAUUCAAUAAAAUAAUUAAUUCAAGUGAAAUUAAUUAAAUAAUUUUUAUCAACAAAUUUAAGAAUGUAUAAAAUAUAUUUAUAUCCAUCAAUCAUAUUUAUCAAAAUAUAUUUUCUCUAUUCAAUAGAUUAUGGUUAGAUAAACUUAUUUAGCUCGUGCUUGUGAUAUUUUUAUUCAAAUUUUAGAAGAAUAACAAUCAUAAUAAUUAUUUUAUCAAUUGAAGACAUAUAAAUUAUUUUCUCAAACAUUUGGUUGUAUGUUAGUAGGUAAAUUAGUAGUUGAGUGAUUUUAAUAAUUUUUAAAAGUUAAGGGCAUAAAAUCAUAUUUAAAUUUUUUUUUGCAAAAGUCUAAAAAAAAUUUUCAAAAAGACAUGGUCAAACACAACUCCAACUGCAACUUCAUCUUUAACUCCAACUCCAACUCCGAAAAGAAGCACUCCCUCCGUCCCAAAUUAUGUUUCAUCAUUUUCUUUUUAAUUCGUCUCAAAAUAAGUGUCGUCUUUCCUUAUUUGACAACUUUUUAAAAACACAAUUACCCUUUUAUUCUUAUUGGUCGCACUUAAUUAAAAAAUAAAAAUAUUGACACGUUUUUUGAUAAAGGAUAAUUUGAUAAACUUUAUCAAGUCUUUUCUUAUUUCUUAAACUAUGUACUCGAUCAAAUGGCGACGCAUAAAAUGAGAUGGGGGGAGUAGUUUUUAUGUCCAAACAGCUAGUAAUUGUAUGUGGCUUUUUUGAAGAUGAGAGUUACACACAAAUGUAGAUGAGCUAUUGGUCCAUUCAAUUUUGAUGGAUUUUGUGGGGCCUCCUUACUCAGAAAAAACAUUUUAAAAAAUAUAUGAAAGUCUAAAAAAUUCCAUCCUUUCUCCAUAUCCACAAAUCCUCUCCUGUCUCUCUGUCACAUACACAUACACAUACACAAUAGUAAUUUUGCCAUUGUUGAAAUAGAAAGAAACAAAAAAGAAAAAUAAAUGGUUGUGAAAUGUUUAAGGGGAUAGAAGAUAGUAGUAGGGAGAAGAGGAGAGGAUGAGUUUGUCAUGCAGUCCAUGGCCAGUCGCUUUACUACCCAUUAUCCUUCUUCUCCUUCUUCUUCUUACGUUCAUAGUUGUCAAGUUAAGCAUUCAACAACACCUGCUGUUCUCCUUUCUUCUUUUAGUAACAGAAAACCCCCUUACAACACCCUUGUCUUUCAGGUUCUUUUUUCUCCUCUUUCUCUCUCUCUUUUUUGGUGCAAAUGUUGUCAAUAUAUAUUCUGUAGUUUGCUUGGUAAAUACUAGGUGUUUCCUGGAUAUGGGUUCAUCCCAUCUUUGUGAUAAAAAUUCUGUGGACUGUGGUUCAUUCCCUAUUGUACAACCUUUUGCUAUGUAAUGUUGAUCCACAAUUGUUGCGAUUUAUUGAAUGAAAUAUAACUUUCUUGCAAGUGAGUUCAUUAAUGUAUUUUAUAUUGAUCUGUUUGAAUGCUGUUGCGCUGCUCUGUCAAGUGCAACUGAACAGUACAUUGAUAGCUUCAUACAAUUUGCUUCUUGGCAGAGAAACUGAACAGUUAAUUGAGGAACUAGUACAUUUGACUUUUUUUUUUCUAUUGUUUACUAUUGCAAUUUUGAACUCGCUUACUUUUUCAAUCUCUUGGAUAAGUGUGCACGUAGAACAUCCCAUUUCAGUAAUAUAAUUGGGAUAUUUUGAUUUCGCCAUUGACAUGUUCCUUUUUGCCUCUCAAGUAGUUGCACUUAUAUUAUUUUUCCCCUUUAUUUCUUUAUAACCGUGGUGUUUGGGCCAGCUUGUGUGCACCUAACUAAUUUCACACUAUAUCUGCCACCUCUCACUAGCAACGGUACCACAUAACUCUAUCCACCAAAGCUAGAACACAUAAGAAAUCACCAAAUUGAUGUCUUUACUGGGAUUUGAACCUGAGACCUCAUGAUGAUCAAUCGACUUGAGUGACCACUAGGGCACAUCCUUGGAUACUUUUCCCUUCUUUUUAUGGGGUUGGGAAUUGGCUAGGUGGAGUAGAUUAUGUAUUUCGCAUAUGAGAGGAAUGGAGCAUUAUGCUAGUCUUUUAAAAGUUCGACUUUCAAAUGAUGUUUCUUUUUUUAAAUAGAUUUUGAGAUGAAAAACAAAGCUAUUGGUUCUUUUUCAGCAGAUUGUUUAACAAAUGCGAGGAACUUAUGGGUGCUAAUUUUUGUUUGUUGUCUAUUUGAUCAACAUGCUGGUUUGCCACAUUGUAACUAAUUUACUGUUCUCAGAGCAAGCGGUUUGGCAUUGUCCAGUAGUUUUGAUAUACAGAAAUCUGUGGAACCCGAGCUCGAGAAGUUAGUAUAACUUACUGAAAGCAAGGCAUAAUGAAUCAGGAUUCUGUUAAACCUAAUAAAGAUGGCUUUUUAAUAAAGACAGUUUCUUUAUGCAGAAUAGAUUUCCAACUAGCUAACUAUCCUGCAGAAUUAGAAUAUAAUGCAAAGCAAAGGCUGGGAAACUUUUUCUUCCUGGCAAAAAUCACUGGAGAUCCUCUCUUUCAAAUUAUUCAUUAUGUUCAUCUGCACAUUCGGCAUUAUCAUCUUCCUUCUUCUCCUUAUAAAAUUUCACUUUUACUGUGCCAACUGAGGCGGUAUUUCUAACAUGACAUGAUAGUCCAUGACUUAAAAGACCAAAAAUGCAAUGAUAGAUCUCUUCUCCGAUGCAAAUUUCAAGCGAAGUUGAUCCAUCAUGACAACUAUGUAGCUAAACCCAUACAAUUGUCUUUUGUCCUCUAAUUCUAAAUCUCUGUAGCUCUUUUUUCUAAAUUUAUUUGUUAAAUAGUAAAUACUGUUUUUGUCUUCAUAUGCAGGCUGUUAGGCUCUUGGGUCCGCCAGCAAGAUUUGAAGCUUCAAAGCUGGAAGUCCUGUUAAAAGGGGAAGAAGUUGAUACAUACUCUAGUAUUGUUCCAAGGACGUAUACUCUAUCCCAUUGUGAUUUUACUGCUAAUCUCACAUUAACCAUCUCAAAUAAUAUCCAAUACGAUCAGGUAAUUAAAUUUUGCACUUUUAAAUGAGCAAUGUUUAUCCUUAAGCUGCAUCUAUGUCUUCUCUUCUGAAAAAUGAUUUUCCCACUGACUCAACAUUUUAUUAUGAAAAUUUGUAAUUUGAAUUCAAUCUUUGUACCCUUUUUUUCUAUGGUAGUUGAAAGGGUGGUAUAAUAAGGAUGACGUGGUUGCUGAAUGGACAGAAGUGAAAGGCAAUUCGUUUCUUGAUGUCCACUGUUAUGUGAGUGGACCGAAUCCUCUACAAGAGCUGGCUGCCGAGUUCAGAUACCAUAUAUUCUCCAAGGAAUUGCCACUGGUAAAUUCAAAAAAUCUGGGCCCUCCUAUUUUGUGCCUUAUGUAGGAAAGACCCCGUAAAUUUAGAAGAUCAGUUACUAUGCUUUUACUUGGAGAAAAAGAAAGAAAAGCUUCGAUUUGGAAAAUGUUUUCCACCAAAUUGAAAUUUGUCUUGCAUAGCUGCAACAAGUUGCACCCUGUAAGUCUGCAAGUCACAUUGAUAAGCUCAUUUCAUUUGUCAAUCAUUAUUCUGAUCUUUGAGUUAUAUAAACUCGCCCUGAAAGGGACGAACAUUAAGGGUGUGUUUGGUAUGAAGAAAAAUAUUUUACUAGAAAAUAUUUUCUUGAAAAAUACGUUAGUUUCUUACUUAUUUUCUUAUGUUUGGUUGGCGGAUGAAAAAUAUUUUCUCGAAAAUGUUUUUCAGUGUUUGUUUGGUAAAUGAAAAAAUACUUUUCAGAAAAUGCAUUUUAGUGUUUAGCUAAAUAGUAAAAAUCCAUUUUAAAAAAUUAUUUUUGACCCUAAAAAAUAUUUCUUUUAGGGGUGUUCGAUAUGAAGGAGGAAAAAUAUUUUCUAGAAAAAUAAGUUAUAUCUUACGUAUAUUCUUGUGUUCGUUAUGUAAAUUGGGUAAAUAUAUGUUUUUUAGAAGUAUUUGUAUAUGUUUAAUAAAAAUAAUGAGAACAAAUAGAAUAAAAAAGGUGGGAUAAGAAAAAAUUUUUAUUUUAUUUUUAAAUAAAUGAAAAAUUAAUUGUUUUGGGAGCGGGUUGGUAGGUGGAGAUUGAGGUUGUCAAAAUAGGUAGUAAGGACGGGGGGGGAGGUUGGUAGGGGUGGGAUUGGGUAGCGGAGGGAAAGAAAAAAGUUUGAAUUUUUUUUAAGAAAAUUAUUUUUGUUGAAGGGAGUAGGGGUUUGAGUUUCGGGUUAGGAGAUGAGGUAAGAAAAAAAAUUGUAAUAGUUUUUUUGAAUAGGGAUUGGUAGGGGAUGGGGGUUAGGGUAGGGGAGUAAGGGUGGGUCAAGGAAAAAUUUUAAAUUUUUUCAAAAAAAAAAUUUUUUUUAAAAUUUAUUUAUUUUAAGGGACGGGGUCAGGUAGAGGAAGGUAAGAAAAAGAUCAAAUUUUUUUAAAUAAUUAAAUAUUUUUUUUGGAAGGAGUGGUUGGUUGGGGGGAGGAGGAGUAGGGGUUUGAGUUUUGGGUAGGUGAUGAGGUGAUAAAAAAAUUUGAAAUAUUUUUGAAGAAAAGUCAUUUUUUUUAAAUUUGAGAAAAAUAAGUUAGAUUUGGAAAAUGUUUUCCUUCGUACCAAACACACCCUAAGAAGAAUCGUAUCUGCUUAGAAAGUACAACGCUUGUCCAAUUUGUACUUAUUCAAUCAUUUAGCUGGCUCUAGUAUCAACUAUUGAAAACUGUGUGGGUCAGUGCAUAUGAAUUAUGAGUCUCUUGAAACAGAAAAAGCCAGAUACCUUACAUUCAAGAAUAAAAUUAUUGUGCUAACACUUUAUAUAUUAGCUUUAGCACAAGGUUUGGGUAAAGUAAUCUUCUCUGGGAAGUUAAUUCAGAAAAAGGUGUAACUGAAAAUAAUUACCACAUUGAUGUUAGUCCCUAAUCACAUGAAGUUAAUAGUUGAGCUCAAGAAAAUGCUCUUCUUACCAAAUUUCCUCGUAUUUCUCAAAUUUUCAUCAUCUUACAUGAAUUUCCUUUUGACUUCCAACAGUUCUAGUGCACAACUUGUAAAACAAUUUUAGAAUUUUGCAGCCACUUUUAUGAGCUUAAGGACUUAAUUUUUCAUUCCUUUGUCGACGUGUUGUUUGGUUUUCACUGCUAAAUUGGUCUACAGUUUGGUUACUCUGUUAAGAUUAAGACUGAUUUACCUCAGGUCCUUGAGGCUGUGCUCUAUGGGGAUUCAAAUUUUUUCAAGGAGCAUAACGAACUAAUGAAUGCAAUCGUUCGAGUCUAUUUCCACUCAAGCUCAAAGAAGUACAACCGUGUAGAAUGCUGGGGUCCUCUAAAAGAUGCAGCUAAGGUAGCACAGAAUUAUUACAAUGUCAUCGGCUACUUCUUGAAACCUUUUUGUCUGAAAGAACCAAUUUUUCAUAAUCAAAAGUCAUUGUGAUCGUUCAACAGACAAAAAAGAAUUGAAAAGGAUAUCUUUUAUGUGGGGAGUAUUAGAAAAAAUCUCUCGUUUCUUACAUUUUUAUGUGCCAAACUUACUAGUUUGCUAGCCUAACCAACCUUUUGUAUGAUCAUUGUUUUCUUAAGCAUGUUCUUAUCAUUCCAAGUUUUAAAAUCUGUGAUUUAUGGAACAGUUUUAAGAUGUUCAGUUUUAUUUUUAAAGAAACGUUAUAUAGUUGGUGCUUGAAGUCAAACUAAAAGAUUUAUAGUUUUGAUCAUCCAAAUGAACAUUUGGACGAGGGAGUGCUAUUGAAUCGAGAACUGUAUUCAAAGUUAUACUUUAGAUUAAUACAACUCACUCUUGUUUUCCAGGGAAGACAAGGGGAUAGUAUCAAUGGCCUGUUAUCGACAAGCAAGGGAGAUUUUCACCCUCCGAAAAUCCAGGGAAGUGCAAAAUCAAUCUUCCAAGCUCUUUUCACCUUCCUUCUCUAAUCUAAUACACUAAGGUGAGAGGCUAAAGAGUUCAUGGAUUUUGGAGGCUUCAAGUUGGGCUACCUAAUAAGUCUUACCUUUUGCAGUUGGAAGGAUCUCUCUUGAAACACAUUUUAGAGUCAUGGGAUCCUACAUUUCGUUGACUUGUAAAGACGAGAAUUGUUUGCAAGGUCAUUAGAUUCUUUGUAUGUAUGUAAUUGCAUUCUUUCGAAUGAGCUCUUGACUGACAAUUCUUGUAAAAACCAAAGACUAUUUUCCCUUUCAUAUGAUCAAUCAGUAAUUGUUCCAUAUGCUCCUGUUUCAUACAUGCUCCAUGAAUAUCUUCAUAUACAAGUUUGACUUGUUCACUUUGUUUCUUUAGAAUCGGUCUCACUUGUCAAAAAUUAAAUGUCCUUUUAUGAGAACCCUUUCGGAAAUAUUGCUUUAUAUUCACAAACUGCCCGAUGGAUCACUCAGAUGUGACAUUUGACCAUAGUACAAUAUCAUAUUUUCUCAUUUACUUUCUUAAUCGUUUUAUUUUUGAAUAAUAUCUUGCUAUCAGAUUAAUAAAGUACACAAGAAAAUACUACCGAGGAUAUUGAACUCACAUCCUUUUUGCCUUGUGGCAUACCCAGGAUUUUCUGGGCAACAUUUUUAUCAGUGUCACUUCUACAUAUUUGUGUCUCUGAACUUGCUAUCUUAUAAGGAAAAUGAGAAUGAAAAGUAGAAGCAAAACUAAAGCUGCAUAUGACUACUAAGUAUUUUCGAUCGGGGAUUAAUGUUAAAAACUGACAAUAUUCAAAAAGUUACAUUUUAUAGCUUACGCCUUGUUCCUUAUAAAGUAAAAAGUCACCUUGCACCCACACCUUUAAAAACACUGAUCUCCUAUAAGACAAAUUCAGCAUAACCAACUUUAAGAAUGAGAAUAACAAACUACAAUCUUAAUCAAAGUGAUAUGUCACACCAAAUAGGUAGUCCUAAACAUACAUAACGUAACUGUGGAUUGGAAAUAAUUCUGAGUUAAUAUCCCAAAUGGUAUUUGGUCACUCAACUAAUGAAUAUUAUCUUAAAAAGUCACACAACUUUGAUUUUUACUUAAAAAUCACUCAACUAAGUCCUAAACAUACGUAACCUAACUCUAUGUUGGAAAUAAUUCCGAGUUAAUAUCCCAAAUAGUUAGUCAGCUAAUGAGUAUUAUCUCAGAAAGUCAUACAACUUUGAUUUUUACUUAAAAGUCACUCAACUAAGGCUUCAAAAGUCAUUCAACUAUAUGUAUUUUGCUUAUAAGUCGCUCAACUUUUUUUAAAAAAAAAAUUAAAAUUGGGCUCAAGGCCCUUUUAUUAAAAACCGAAAAUGAGUUUAAAUUACAAGACCGGGCCCAAAAGUGACCCGGUCCUAAUAAUAACCGAUGAAACAAAGUAAACCAUUCUUUAGAUUAGGAAAGUUGGAAAGUUGUUGAAGCUUCCAGAAUACUAAUCAACCAACAAUGCUGCUACUUCUAUAGGAAAGGCGUCGACUUGUUCUCCUUGGCAUCACAAUCUUCUUCAAUGACCAACGAUCAACGAAGGUGCUGCUGUGAUGGUGUUAGUGUCGCCUUACCAAUACAAAUCGACCAUUCUCAUUUGACCAACGAUGUUGAUGCUGAUAUGGUGUCGCCUUGUGAACCUCUUGUUGCCUUUUCAUCUUUAUCUCCGCAGCUCCUCUGUCCACCACUGCUGAGAUUCACCAAUCACGAUUAUCUUCUUCUCAGCCACCUAAGUUAAGUUUUAAAUUCUAAUCUUACCUUCUUUACUUUCAUAGCUCAAUGGAUUGAGAUUCUUAAGAAUCGAAUACCAAUAUCUUAACUGAAACAUAAAUUCCAGUAAGUUACAAUUUGAAAACUUUGUCAUUGUAUAAGGUUGUUCUUAAUCAUUUGUAGGGACCUAUUUUGGAUCUGAUUUAGCUGUUGUUUGAGUAUUUAGCAAAGGAAAUCACUUCCAACAACAAGUAUCAUCAUCUCCUUAAAACAUCCCCAAAUCAAUUAUUCCCAACCAAUUUGCACUUUAUUGGUCGAGGUUAAUCCUCUCUGAUUUCUAUCUUAAUUCAAAGUUAUGAGCUGCUCUAAUUAUCUACAUAUCCCAUGUUACCUUUUGCUCCUCCGACAUGUUCAUUGUAUGAACCUUAUUAUCCUGCCCUAUUUCUUGUGUUACUGUUCUGCUGUUGCAAAUUUUUUGUAUGAGUUGGUGUUGUUGUUUGUUCACUCUUUCUUUGAGGUUCUUCUAAUAUUAGGAGUUCCCUUUUUUUCUAGAUUAAUGAUAGCCUUUCCUUUCACUGGCACCUCUUCAAGACAAUUGGACUGAAAAUCAUCUGCAAAAUCAAAAACCAAGUUAGUAAAAAAAUCAGCUAGAAUGUUGCCUUCCCGAAGGGAAUGCACCACUCUAACUGAUAAAUUCUCCAUCAUAGACUUUAUGGAGUUGACCACAAUUGGCAUACUCCAUGGGGCUUCUCAAUUUAGAUUUAAAAUCUGCACCAUUGCCCAUGAAUCACUUUUCACAAUUAUUUACUGAAUAAAGUUAUCACUACAGAACAGUAGGCAUUCCCUGAACGCUAUAGCUUCUGCUAUCAAACUAGUAGUGUCUUUGAUUCUAGAUCCUUCAUCUACCACUAGAUCACCAAACUGAUCUCUAAUACAAAAUGCAAUAGAGCUAGGGCCUAGAUUUCCUUUAGAGGCACCAUCAAUGUUACACUUUAGCCAACCAGUCUCAAAAGGAAACUAUUUCACCAGUUUGAAUGAAUAAUAGCUGCUAUAACUCUAAAGAUCAUCAAUUAUACUAUGCUAUUUUUUAUCUGCAACCUCCAUUCUGAAUCUAAGAUUUAUGAACUUUGCAAUAGUAUCAUUCACUUCCAAGUAAAUCUUUCUUUCUUGAUAAUUUCCCCAAUUCAAAAUAGUGUUUCUUCUCUUUCAUGAAAACCCAAGAAUAAUUAUAGGAACAACACUGAAACAACCCUCAAUCUAUAAUUACCAGCUUGAGUUCUCCAUAUCCUAACACUUUGUUUCACAUUUAGUCUCUGCUAAACUAAUCCAGCUGCACCACAGUAAUGGUUCCACACCCUUCUAGCAAUUUCACCAUUAAGAAAUAGGUGAUUAAUAGUUUCCCUUUUUGGAUUACUACAACAAAUACAUUUCUAUGAAAUCUCAGAGUUCCAGUUAUUCAUCAAACCAACAACUUGGAUUAUGCCUUUCCAAAUUCUCCAGGUUAAAGAACGAUAAUUUAAAGGCAAUCCAUUAUGCCAGGUUGCUUUUAAAUCUUCAUUUUCAUCAGCUCUUUGUCUAAUAAGUUUCAAGCACUUUUGGUAGUAAACUUUCCUGUGCUAUUCAAGGCCCACCGGGGUUUAUCCAUAGAAUCUUCAUAGCAAACCAAGUCCAUACUGUCUCUGUUAUGACCUAUUACAUGCGCUGAGACUUUAUCCAGCAUAACCUCAUUAUUCCAACCUUCUGUAUCUAGAAAUUCUGAAAUAUCAGUCAAAGGAUAACAAGUUUGUACCUCAGAUUGCUGCAUAAAUAAUGGACCAGUAUUUGUCCAAUUGUCAAACCAAGUAGUAGAAGUCCCACCUCUAGGUUCCCACCAUAAAUACUAUUCUAACUUGUCUCUAUUAUUCAACAUAGAUUUCCACACUUGAGAACCACCUGUCCAUUGCACUAAUGAUGUCACCUAUUUUUUACAAUAGUUAUUCCACAUAAAAUUUGACCACAGGUUGCCUUGAGUCCUAAACCUCCACCAUAACUUGGUAUGCAUAGCUUGAGACAUAUCUUCUAUAGAUCUAAACCCCAUUCCCCUCUCCUUUUGGGAUACAAAGUUUAUUCCAAGCCACCUUGUGUUUACUUUUUCCUGUUUCUUUGUUCUGCCAAAAGAAUUUGGCAAAGAUUCUCUACACUUCUUUUAGAACACUCUUUGGUUGGAUUACUGCUGACAAAACAUAAAGUGGUGCACUCUGUAAUACUGUUUUAAUAAGAACUUUUUUGCCACCAUAAGAUAGUAAUCUGCCCUUCCAUGCUUGAAGCUUACCUCUGAUCUUGUCUAUCAACUCAACAUAAUGCUCUUUCUUCUUCUUGGAAUGAGUUAAGGGACAUCCAAGGUAUUUUAGAGAGAAAAAACCUUUAUUCAUCCUUGUAAUCUGCUCAACCUAAAUCACCAUAUUGGAGGGGGUAUUUUGAUGUAUAUAAAAAAAAAACUCCUUGUCCGUGUUCAUCUUUUGGCCAGACUCAAGCUCAUAUUCCUGCAAGACACUCAUAAUCCUACUCAUAGAGUAAUUAUUAGAAAAAGUAAUAUGAUGGUAUCAUCUGCAUAAGCAAGGUGGUUCAGGUUAGAACUCCACUUUGGCAUACCAUACCCUACAUAAGAAAUAUCAUCAAAUAACUGAUUAAGAGCUAUUUUCAUCACUUUAGAAGAUAUAAUAAAAACUGUAGGGGACAAGGGAUCCCCUUGUUUCACCCCCCUUGUAGAGUGAAAAAGGCCAACUGAUUGACCAUUUAAAAUUAUAGAGUAAUAAUUAUUAGAGAUUAAUCUCCAAAUCACAUCUACUACUUUUUUAGAGAAACUCAUUUUCCUCAUCACUUUCAUUAAAAAAAAAAAACAAUAUACCCUAUCAUAGGAUUUUGCCAUGUCCUACUUUAAUGCCACAUUAGAAGGUUUUCCUCUUUUUCUUAUAUCGAUAAUUAGUUUUUGAGUAAGGAGAACAUUUUCCACAAUACUCCUAUCUUUAACAAAACCCGAUUGAUUAGGAGAAAUCAAUCUAGGCAAAAUACUUUCCAACCUAUCAUGCACAAUCCUAGAAAGGAUUUUAUUCACAAAGUUACUCAGACUAAUUGGUCUUGAAUCAGAAAAGGAUUGCACAUUAUUCUUUUUAGGAAGGAGAACCAAAAUAGUAUGAGUAAUGAAUUUAGGAAGAGUGUUACCUGCAAAGAAGUCCAAAACUAGUCUCCUCAAAUCUCCACCAACAAUGUCCCAGCAAACCUGAUAAAACCUGUAAGUCCAUCAGGUCCUCUACUGUUAUCCCUAUUUAAUAUAAACACAGCCUGCUUAAUUUCGUCCUCAUCUGGUGUAGCCUCUAGGACCCUAUUAUCUGCUUCAGUAAUUAAAUCAGGAAUGUGAUCUAGAAGAGGGAAUUCUAAAGCAUCUCUACCUGUGCAUUGUUGUUGAUAAAAAGAUAUUGCCUCACUUGUCGUCUGAGUUUCAUCUUCUAACCAACAACUAGAUUCACUAAGAAUCCUAGAGAUUUUUAACCUGUUCCCCCUUCCUUCGACAAUGCUAUGAAAGAAUUUGGUAUUUUUAUCCCCAUUCUCAAAUCAGUCAUACCCAGCUUUUUGUUGCCAAUAAUGCUCCUCUAGUUGAAGAUACCUGAUAUAUUCAACCCUUGCUUUCUGCAUAACAAAUCUAUUUUCUUGUGAAGGUGAAUCUUCAAAUAGUUUUUCCUUAACCUUAGCUAUUUCCUCCCUGAUUAUUAACUGUUGGAAGAUAUCCCCAAAAGUAUGUCUGCUGUACUUAGAAAGAGCUCUUUUCACUUUCUUAAUCUUCCUUUUGAAAUCAAGAAAUGGGUUAUCAGUGUUAUCCACAUCCCAGUUUCUUAUGACUACCUUUUUAAACUCACCAUGGUCAGUCCAUAAGUUUAAAAAUUUAAAAGGCUUCUGAAACUUAAAUUCAAUAUUUACACAUCUUAGAAAAAGAGGAGCAUGAUCAGAAUCAUCUCUUGCCAAAUGUAACACCUCCACCAAAUUAAAAAUAUCUAGAAAAUCAGAAUUACAAAAUAAUCUAUCCAACUUCUCAAAAAUGCAAUCAUCACCUGCUCUCCCAUUCCACCAGGUAAAAGGACUACCCUUGUGCUGAAUUUGGGAAAGAUCACAUGAUUCAGCAGAGUCUCUGAAAUCCUCUAUUUUUGUAGUAGUUACAGACAAACCUCUAAUCUUAUCUAAAGCACUAAGGAGUGAAUUAAAAUCACCUCCUAUGAGCCAAGCCUCAGAGUUCCCAUUAGUUAUAGAAAAGAUACUAUCCCAACGAUCUAAUCUUGACUUUUGUCACAUUUAGUAUAGAUUAAAGUCACAAGAAAAGAUGAACCAAGGGACUGAUCUUGUAUUUGCAGAUAUAGGAAUUGCUAUGUAUCACUCUUUAUUAUAUAGUAAAACCAUGAUUUACAAUACACCAAAUUUUACCAUUACAAUUAUGAAACAUGAAAUGCAUUUGGAAUCUCCUUCUGUAUUUAUUAAUGUAUUGAGGCUGCUAAAAUGGUUCCAUAAGGGCUAUAAAAGAAAAUUUAUUCAACCUAUUCAGUAAUUGAACUCUCUCAAAAGUUCUUUUGAGAUUUGACGGACCUGAUAUUCCAAAUCAAUGCUUUCAUAAUUGCUUAGAGUAUUGACUUCCACCCCCUCUUUUAGGUUGAAAUCUGCUAGGCAGAUUCUUUUCCCUAUUGCUCUAUUUUUUUUCCUUUCUUAGCUUGCUUUGCAGACUGGAUGGCUCUGUGUGAUAAGUCUACUUCCCUAUGAAUUUACUCUUUUUAAUUCUGGUAGGAUGAUGUCUCCUUUACCCCUUCUAACAAUCCACCAAUUUCAUACACUGCUUUUGCAUUAUGAGAAAGUAUAGCAUGUAACACUUUGUUAGGUGAUUCUGAAUCAUCACUCCAUUCUUGUUCAGUAUCGCAAUUGGGAUGUCAACUAUGGCAAGAAUGUUCUUAUCUUGCUCUUGAUUAAAACUCUUUUUUUAGCUAGAUUCCCCUUCUAUGCAGCAUUUACUUUUAUUGGAGAAUUAAGCUGUGCUUUCUUUAUGUUGUCAGC